UUCCAGACUCCUACGGGAGGCAGCAGUGGGGAAUAUUGCACAAUGGGGGAAACCCUGAUGCAGCGACGCCGCGUGAGCGAUGAAGUAUUUCGGUAUGUAAAGAUCUAUCAGCAGGGAAGAAGAUGACGGUACCUGACUAAGAAGCCCCGGCUAACUACGUGCCAGCAGCCGCGGUAAUACGUAGGGGGCAAGCGUUAUCCGGAUUUACUGGGUGUAAAGGGAGCGUAGACGGCGAUGCAAGCCAGAUGUGAAAGCCCGGGGCUCAACCCCGGGACUGCAUUUGGAACUGUGUGGCUGGAGUGUCGGAGAGGCAGGCGGAAUUCCUAGUGUAGCGGUGAAAUGCGUAGAUAUUAGGAGGAACACCAGUGGCGAAGGCGGCCUGCUGGACGAUGACUGACGUUGAGGCUCGAAAGCGUGGGGAGCAAACAGGAUUAGAUACCCCUGUA
rnacentral:rRNA from 1 species